CUCUACACUCGUUGGUUAUACAAUUUCAAAGAUGACUUUUGGUAAAUUGCCGGAAACUGAAUCAGGAAUAAAUGACAAACGACGAGGGUUUGGAAUUUAUUCGGUGACGUGUGGCUACAAUGUCUGUAACGAGAGUUUUAAGUUUUUCGGGCAAUGUAUGGGGUUGUUUCUUUCCCGAGAAAAUUCAAUGAAUCGUAUCGUCUCAUUUUGAGAAUGAUGAAUUUAUAGUUUUGUAACUAAACGAUGACGGUUUCUGGUAAAACGUGUCCAACGAAACUAAGAAAGAAAGAAAGAAAGAAAGUAUAAGUCGGCGAUGACGUUCCCAACGUGACAUAACCGAACCGAAAUAAGUUACGGGGUUUCUCGUGAAGUUAACAAGUUGUUUUUUUUUUUUUUCCUCUUCCCAAACUAAUAGUUCCGAAAUUAAUGCGCCGCGACUCCGACGCUCGUAAAACUCAACGGAGAACGUGAACUCGAGAACGUGAACAACCCCCGGAGGAUUGAAAGAAUAUGCGGUCGACAAAAACCAUCUCAGCUGGAUCCGGUAAUUAUCCUCGAGGAAUCAUAAGACGUUCGAAACUCUGCACCGACGUCUGACACAUUCCUCGACAAGAUCGAAGCUACCGCGUUACAUUGAGACACAAAAUUGUUUAACAUGUACAAUAAAAAUUUUUACAGCCCGAACAAUUUGCAUAAAGCCUGUACAGAUGAUCGGUUCAUUCGAAUACCCACGUUAUACUUCCUAUUCAAUAUUCUAUGACAUUCGCUCUUACUUUUUAUACGAUUUUUUGUCCGUUUGGCAGGAAUCGCAUACGACUACAGGUGUAUAAUAGCGUUUAGCGUCGCGAGUGUUGAAUGGCUCAUCGUAUAUGUAACGAUGAAUAAUUUGCUAAGCCAGACAUGUUAUCAUAAUAAACGAUAAAAUUUUUUAA